rnacentral:snRNA from 1 species
AAAUGUUCCAUAUCUUAUAACUUGAUCUUGAAGGGUUUUCAUACAUGAAAAUCCUAA